rnacentral:rRNA from 1 species
CGCGGGGCAACCUGGCGGCGAGUGGCGAACGGGUGAGUAAUAUAUCGGAACGUACCCAAGAGUGGGGGAUAACGUAGCGAAAGUUACGCUAAUACCGCAUACGAUCUAAGGAUGAAAGCAGGGGAUCUUCGGACCUUGUGCUCCUGGAGCGGCCGAUAUCUGAUUAGCUAGUUGGUGAGGUAAAGGCUCACCAAGGCCACGAUCAGUAGCUGGUCUGAGAGGACGACCAGCCACACUGGAACUGAGACACGGUCCAGACUCCUACGGGAGGCAGCAGUGGGGAAUUUUGGACAAUGGGCGAAAGCCUGAUCCAGCAAUGCCGCGUGAGUGAAGAAGGCCUUCGGGUUGUAAAGCUCUUUUGUCAGGGAAGAAACGGUCUGGGCUAAUACCCUGGGCUAAUGACGGUACCUGAAGAAUAAGCACCGGCUAACUACGUGCCAGCAGCCGCGGUAAUACGUAGGGUGCAAGCGUUAAUCGGAAUUACUGGGCGUAAAGCGUGCGCAGGCGGUUUUGUAAGUCUGACGUGAAAUCCCCGGGCUCAACCUGGGAAUUGCGUUGGAGACUGCAAGGCUAGAAUCUGGCAGAGGGGGGUAGAAUUCCACGUGUAGCAGUGAAAUGCGUAGAGAUGUGGAGGAACACCGAUGGCGAAGGCAGCCCCCUGGGUCAAGAUUGACGCUCAUGCACGAAAGCGUGGGGAGCAAACAGGAUUAGAUACCCUGGUAGUCCACGCCCUAAACGAUGUCUACUAGUUGUCGGGUUUUAAUUAACUUGGUAACGCAGCUAACGCGUGAAGUAGACCGCCUGGGGAGUACGGUCGCAAGAUUAAAACUCAAAGGAAUUGACGGGGACCCGCACAAGCGGUGGAUGAUGUGGAUUAAUUCGAUGCAACGCGAAAAACCUUACCUACCCUUGACAUGUACGGAAGACCG